rnacentral:lncRNA from 1 species
UGAGAAAGGAAGACCUACCCUCAAUGUGGGUGGGCACCAUCCAAUCUGCUGCCAGCACAGCCAGAACACAGUAGGCGGAAGAAGGUGGGAUAGGCUGGCUUGAUGAGCCUUCUGACUUUCACCUUUCUCCCCUGCUGGAUGCAUCCAUCCAUCUCUCCCUCCUGCCUUCAGACAUCAGACUCCAGCUUCUUUGGCCUUUGGACUCUUAGACUUACACUAGUGGUUUGCUGGGGGCUUUCCGGCCUUUGGCCACAGACUGAAGGCUGCAUCGUCAGCUUCCCUACCUUUGAAGAUUUUGGACUUUGACUGAGUCACUAUUGGCUUCUUUCUUCCUCAGCUUGCAGACGGCCUAUCAUGGGACUUCACCUUGUGAUCAAAGGAGAAGGACUGAGGUGUUCUAUCUCUUUCCGGCACAAAUCAUCACUUCACAUAUCCCUUCUAGACAGCAGCUGUAUGAUAGCAUGAUACUUUUUUCUACUUGUUCUGAAGUGUGAACCGGAAAGAGCAGAAAGUGUUAGCCAGAGAAAAGACAUCCCUCUGUGAGUUUGGGAGCCUGGGAAGUACAAAAUCAAGGCGCCAGCAGAUUUCAGUGUCUGGAGAAAACCUGCUUCCUCAAAGGUCUUGACGUUGGGAAGUAAAAGAUCAGAGUGCUGGCAGAUUUUGGUGUCUAGUAAAGGACGGCUUUCUAGUGUAUAGAUAACACCUUCUAUCCAUGUCCUCACAUGGUGAAAAAGUGACUGUAAGUUUCCUGAGGCCUCCCCAGAAGCAGAAGCCUGUAUACUCGGCAGAAGUGUGCUUAUUGAAAUACUCAACUUUCAUGAUGCUCUGAUGGCUUUGGCAGACACUGCCCCAACUUCUUCAGGUGGUUUUCUCCCUUACCAGGGAGACUGUUGUUCAGGCGGCAGGACUGGCAACUCAGUAUGUGGUUUGCUUAUAAACCUGUGAACACA